CCUCAGGGCACUAUAGUGCCAGGAAAACGAGUAUGUUUUCCUGGCACUAUAGUGGUCCUUUAAUGUCAAGGGCAACAAAUCACAUAAAUAACCCAGCAAGACAAAACACUCACAUAUACACAGGCCAAAUAUAUAUCUCAAUUAAAUCCUAAUUAAACCGUUGUCGGGGUGUCUGGGAUGAAGGGCAGUGUUUUAAUAUGGCAGUCCUUCG